AAUAAAUUAUUACUACCAACUAAUACAAAUUAGUUUCUAGAGAAAAAAAAUAAUCUUGAAAUUGUACGUUUACCAAUACCAUCCAAAGGUAACAUUGAGAUUUUUGUGAAAGGAUCCUUUGCGGGAAGCUUCGCAGAAAGAUCAAAGAUUUUCAUGACCCCAUAACUUCCUCAAACCUCUAACAGCUUCGAAUUUCAAACCCCAUCAAUCUGCUAGAUGCCUGCUUCACUGAAAAGAUGGCAAAACAAGUUGUACAUUGAACAAGCUGAUCACCAUUUCCUGUGGAGACAUUAUAAGUGCUGUUGGACUAGAAAAUGAUUUUGUUUUGGGAGAAUUGGUACUGGUUUUGUUUUCUGUAGAACUAAUGUGACUGUUUGGAUUUAGUGUUUAAUAAGCUUUGGGUUUGCUUUUGGGAGAA